rnacentral:rRNA from 1 species
UGGGGAAUUUUGUACAAUGGGGGAAACCCUGAUCCAGCCAUCCCGCGUGUGCGAUGAAGGCCUUCGGGUUGUAAAGCACUUUUGGCAGGAAAGAAACGUCAUGGGUUAAUACCCCGUGAAACUGACGGUACCUGCAGAAUAAGCACCGGCUAACUACGUGCCAGCAGCCGCUGUAAUACGUAGGGUGCAAGCGUUAAUCGGAAUUACUGGGCGUAAAGCGUGCGCAGGCGGUUCGGAAAGAAAGAUGUGAAAUCCCAGAGCUCAACUUUGGAACUGCAUUUUUAACUACCGGGCUAGGGUGUGUCAGAGGGAGGUGGAAUUCCGCGUGUAGCAGUGAAAUGCGUAGAUAUGCGGAGGAACACCGAUGGCGAAGGCAGCCUCCUGGGAUAACACUGACGCUCAUGCACGAAAGCGUGGGGAGCAAACAGG